rnacentral:misc_RNA from 1 species
GAUGAAGGAACGUAGCGAAAUGCGAUACUUGGUGUGAAUUGCAGAAUCCCGUGAACCAUCGAGUCUUUGAACGCAAGUUGCGCCCGAAGCCACUAGGCCGAGGGCACGCCUGCCUGGGCGUCACACGUCGUUGCCCCCCCCCCAUCUACUCCUUCGGGAUUGCGGGGGGCGGAUGAUGGCCUCCCGUGCGCCUAGCCGCGCGGUUGGCAUAAAUACCAAGUCCUCGGCGACGCACGCCACGACAAUCGGUGGUUGCGAAACCUCGGUUGCCCGUCGUGUGCGUUCGUCGCGCAUCGAGGGCUCGAAAAAAUGCUCGGCUCCGGCUCGGCUUUCAACGCGACCCCAGGUCAGGCGGGGUUACCCGCUGAAUUUAAGCAUAUCAAUAAGCGGAGGA